rnacentral:rRNA from 1 species
UGUCGGGUAAGUUCCGACCUGCACGAAUGGCGUAACGAUUUCCCCACUGUCUCCAACAUCGACUCAGCGAAAUUGAAUUCUCCGUGAAGAUGCGGAGUACCCGCGGUCAGACGGAAAGACCCCGUGCACCUUUACUACAGCUUCGCAGUGGCGUUAGUGGCGAUAUGUGUAGGAUAGGCGGGAGGCUUUGAAACCAGAGCGCCAGUUCUGGUGGAGCCAUCCUUGAAAUACCGCCCUUAUCCUCAUUGACGUCUAACCGCGGUCCAUGAACCUGGAUCCGGGACCCUGCGUGGCGGGUAGUUUGACUGGG